AAGUCGUAACAAGGUUUCCGUAGGUGAGCCUGCGGAAGGAUCAUUACCUAGAGUUUGUAGACUUCGGUCUGCUACCUCUUACCCAUGUCUUUUGAGUACCUUCGUUUCCUCGGCGGGUCCGCCCGCCGAUUGGACAACAUUCAAACCCUUUGCAGUUGCAAUCAGCGUCUGAAAAAACAUAAUAGUUACAACUUUCAACAACGGAUCUCUUGGUUCUGGCAUCGAUGAAGAACGCAGCGAAAUGCGAUAAGUAGUGUGAAUUGCAGAAUUCAGUGAAUCAUCGAAUCUUUGAACGCACAUUGCGCCCCUUGGUAUUCCAUGGGGCAUGCCUGCUCGAGCGUCAUUUGUACCUUCAAGCUCUGCUUGGUGUUGGGUGUUUGUCUCGCCUCUGCGUGUAGACUCGCCUUAAAACAAUUGGCAGCCGGCGUAUUGAUUUCGGAGCGCAGUACAUCUCGCGCUUUGCACUCAUAACGACGACGUCCAAAAGUACAUUUUUACACUCUUGACCUCGGAUCAGGUAGGGAUACCUGCUG
rnacentral:rRNA from 1 species